UACGUAGGUGGCAAGCGUUAUCCGGAUUUAUUGGGCGUAAAGGGAACGCAGGCGGUCUUUUAAGUCUGAUGUGAAAGCCUUCGGCUUAACUGGAGUAGUGCAUUGGAAACUGGGAGACUUGAGUGCAGAAGAGGAGAGUGGAACUCCAUGUGUAGCGGUGAAAUGCGUAGAUAUAUGGAAGAACACCAGUGGCGAAAGCGGCUCUCUGGUCUGUAACUGACGCUGAGGUUCGAAAGCAUGGGUAGCAAACAGG
rnacentral:rRNA from 1 species